GUGAUUAUGUUCUUCUUCCCCUCAGGUAAACUACCAGUCUUAAAAAUCACAGUCACUCCCCAGAUCUCUUCAGACACCUUCAGAUCUAUUUGGAAAAAUAGCAAGAAGUCUAGUAAGGCCCGAAGAAAGAAGAAAAAGAAAGGUUCGUUCUUAAAUAUCCGUGUUGGUGAGUAGUGUCCACCAGGGGGCGCUGGAUGCAGCCUCUGCGCACCGCUGGGGUAGAUGGCACCGUCAGAUGCAGAUGCAGAUUUGGCGCUGAAUAAAGAGAAUUUAUGUUUUAGAUCACACGCCCCUAAACCAGCGUCCCAUUCUAAUGAAUGAUGAUUGCAUCAAGAGACAAGUAAGGAAGAGAACAGCAUCCUUCCCUCGAAGAUUUAGUGCAAACCCUGUCUCCCCUUUAACCCCUUUGCCUGCCCAAAUUCUCUACUUCCUAGUAGCCUGUUGCAGGUCUAUAAAAGGUGAAUUUACCCAAACUCUCAGGAAGCCUGCGCUACCUCUUGGAGGGGAUUGAUUUAGAUAUGUUCAUUCUCUAUUGUGUAAAGUUGAAAUUCCUCCCUCCAACCCCUUAUGAUUUCCCAUUUAUUAUCUCACAGGCUAAAAACAGAAUAUGGAUGUCAGGUUUGCACACACAGGUCAUCUAUUUUGAUGGCGACGCAGACAUGCCUGGAAGGACAUUGCUUGUUCUGUAAUCAUAUUUUUUUUUCAUUGUAACCAAAAACAUUUUCAAAUUCUAAAAUUCCAGAAGGUUCUUUUAUGAAAAUUGAAAGUGAUGUUAAUCUUAUCACACAUCAUUUCUAAAAUGCAUGUUUCUCAGUAGGUCUUGGUAAAUACAGGUGCGAUUCUUCUCUGGGACUUCUUUUUUUGUGCAUGUGAAAUUUGUAAUUUGAAGAAAGUAUACCCCCCUUUUUUUCCCCCUAAAAAAGAAAGAUAUAUAUAUAUAUAUCUACAUUCGGGAAUAAUAGGAUUGUUGGGAAGUAAUAACAACUUCCUAAAAGGAAACAUCCCCUCAAAUUAGGAUCUUUUCAACCAGGCACAUGGUGCACACAUGUAAUCUUAGCCACUUGGGAGGCUAAGGCAGGAGGAGCCUAAGUUCAAGGCCAGCCUGGGAGAUUUAGCUAGACUCUGUUUCAAAAUAAAUUUUUUUUUUAAUUUUUUUUUUUUAGUUAUAGAUGGGCACAAUACCUUUGUUUUAUUUAUGUUUAUGUGGUGCUGAGGAUUGAACCCAGUGCUUCACACAUGCUAGGCAAGCGCUCUACCACUGAGCUACAAUUCCAGCCCCUCAAAAUAAAAUUGAAGGGCUAGGAUAUGGCUCAGUGGUAGAGCAUCCUUGGGUUCAGUCCCCAGUACCACACACAUACACACAAAAGGGAUCUUCUCCAAAUGAGGAAAUUUCUGAUCACCCUACUUGGCCUUGAGGAUGCUGAACAGCCCCACGGGAAAUGGAAGAGGUGUGAUUGAUGGAUGUAUGAAUGAUACAUCAGAUUAGCUGAGUUUUACAUGCCACAUAUGGUACAGGUAUGAAGAGCAUGCACUGGGCAUCCAGAUGAACCAGAAUUCUCUGUGGAGGUCCUGGUAUUUUCCAGGCACGUGACCUGGAGCAGUGAACUUCACCACACCUCAGUUUCCCCUUAUGUAAGAAUCAAAUAAUAAUAAUACCUGUCUCGUUCUGUGAGCUUUGAGUGAGCUGGCAGAUGUUAAAAGUUUUAGGACAAUAUCUGGUUCAUAAUGUCACUUAAAAACAAAUGCUAAUAGCUGCUAUUGCCACUGUUAUCCUUGGUGGUCGGACUGAGUGGUUCCACCUUAUUUCACCUUUGAGGCAAGAAACAUUGAAAAGAAAAAAAAAGAAGAUUUACGACCUCUUCAGUUUGAAGUAAAAAUAAAAAUCUUCAUUCUUCUACAUCCAAAUUUAAUAAGUGUGCACAGAUUCCUGGAAACUAAUGUGGAGGUGGGCAGGGAGUAUAGCAAAUUAUCUCACUCUCCAGGAUCUUAGGAGCUAGCUAAGACAGAUCCUCCUACAUUAGCAGUGAGCAAUAACAGGGUGUAAGUGUCAAAAGAAUGUCAUUGGACCCACUUGAAUCAAAGUGUGGAAUAUGAUAUGUCAAGAAAUUUGUAAUGUUUUGAACAACCCACAAUAAAAAAAAAAAAGAAUGUCAUUGGGCAGGAUAAAGAAGGCUACAGAAUAAUGACAUUCAACUUAACACAUUUAUCAGAAUUUUAUGUAUCUGAUGUAUGAAACCUCAUGAGAAACUCCAUCUACUUAAAAAAUUAUUGUUUAAAAUUUUCCAUACCUAAAAUCAGUGUGCUUCUUUAGGAGGUGUUUUGGCAGUGUCUAUCCACUUGAAAACUGCAUAGCUUUUGAUGUAGUCAUUCUAUUUUAGAAAUUUGUUUUACAGAUACAUUUUCAUAAGUGUUGGAGGAAAUAUAAAAAUAUUUAAUGUAGUAACAUUUAUUUUACAUUGUGAAAAUUAAAUGUCUUUUAAAGGGUCCUCUAAAUAAACCACAGUAAAUGUAUGUGGUGCAAUACUACGGAGCUUUUAAAGAGAAUAAUGUGGAUAUGUAGGAUAUUCAAGUGAUACUAUUUUCAAAAUCAGGCUACAGAAUAAUACAUGUGGAAGUUUUAUAUUAAAAAUAAAUUGGAGGGGCUGGGGUUAUAGCUCAGUGGUAGGGCACUUGCCUAGCACGUGUGAGGCACUGGGUUAGAUCCUCAGCACCACAUAAAAACAAAUAAAAAGAUAUUGUGUCCAUCUAUAACUGCACAAUCAAAAAUAAUAAAUAAAUAAAUUUAAGAUGGGCACAGCGAUGAUGUCUGUAAUCCCAGCAACUCAGAAAACUGAGGUAGGAGGAUCCCAAUUCAAGGCCAACCUCAGCAACUUAGAACCUGUCUCAAAAUAAAUAAAUAAAUAAAAAGGACUGGGGACAUAGCUCAGUGGUAAAGCUCCUGGGCUCAAUCCCAAGAACCUAAAUAAAUAAAUAAGAAUUGAAGCCAGGCUCAGUGGUGCACACCCGUAAUACCAGCAACUUGGGAGGUUGAGGUAGGAGGAUUUGAAGUUAGAGGCCAGCCUUGGCAACUUGGUGAAACCCUGUUCCCCACCCCCCCAAAAAAGGGGGGUGUUGUUUCAAUCCCCAGUUGCAAAAAAGAAUUGAUGUAGUGUAAUCUAGCUAUUUCAUCUCUGACUGUAUUUCCAAAAGAAUUGAAAGCAAAGUCAUAAAGGAUAUUUGUAUACCAUGUUCAUGGAGGUAGCCAAAAGGUGGAAGCAGUUCAAAUGUGCACUGAAGAAUGAAUGAAUGAACAAAAUGUGCAGACCUACUAUGGAAUAUUAUUCAGCCUUUAAAAGGAAUGAAAUUCUAACAUGUGCUAUAACAUAGAUGAGGACAUUAUGCUAAGUUAAACCCAGUAACAAAAAGACAAAAUCCUUAUUUCCCUUUAUAGGAGAUAGAGUAGUUGAAAUCAUGGAGACAGAAAGUUGAAUUGUAGCUGCCAAGAGCUGGAGGGAGAGGAAAAUGGGGACUUGUUCUUUAUUGAGUACAAAAUUUCAAUUUUGCAAAGUGAAAAUGUUCUGUUACAUAACAAUGUGAAAAUACCACACCGGACUUAACUAUGUGUUUAACUAUGAUUAUGGUUGUAAAUUUUAUGUAUAUUUUUCCCCAAUUAAAAAAAUUUAAU
rnacentral:lncRNA from 1 species